rnacentral:tRNA from 1 species
AUGGCGUAGUGGUCACUGCACUCGCCUUGCACGCGGGAGACCCGGGUUCGAUUCCCGGU